AUACGAAGGGGGCUAGCGUUGUUCGGAUUUACUGGGCGUAAAGCGCACGUAGGCGGAUUGAUUAGUUAGGGGUGAAAUCCCGAGGCUCAACCUCGGAACUGCCUCUAAAACUGUCAAUCUCGAGACCGGAAGAGGUGAGUGGAACUCCUAGUGUAGAGGUGGAAUUCGUAGAUAUUAGGAAGAACACCAGUGGCGAAGGCGGCUCACUGGUCUGGUACUGACGCUGAGGUGCGAAAGCGUGGGGAGCGAACAGGAUUAGAAACCCCAGUAGUCC
rnacentral:rRNA from 1 species